rnacentral:lncRNA from 1 species
CUGCAGAGACAAAAUCAGACCCUUACCUUGCACUGUUGACCUAUCGGUCCUCACCUCUGGGAUCUGGAGCAUCACCCUCAGAGCUCCUCAUGAACCGAAAACUGCGCAGAAAAAGCAUCAUGACAAGACGGCCAGGAGUCUCACACCUCUCUCAGAACACGACGUGUUAUCCACCAACUGAUGACAAAUCCAGAUUGUCUAGGUGUAUGGUUACACUUUUCCCGUCACUGAAAGUCAUAAUGGAAGAUGAGAAUGAAGGCUUUGUAAGUAUUUAUUUUUGCAC